CUUAGUUGCCCUCUCUCAGGUGAGCAUCCACACAGAGAACAGAGAAGAAGAAGGUGGAGGAAAGAGCAGUGGCGGUAGCGGCGGUGCAGCGCGGUGGCGAUUUGGGUAAUUAGAGGAUAUAUGGCUCCAGGCUCCAGAGUAUGCCAUGAAUGGCCUGUAUUCUACAAAAUCUGAUGUCUACAGCUUUGGUAUUUUAUUGUUGGAAAUCAUUGGCGGCCAACUGGAAGUACGUUUUCUAGCAACCCAUUAGGGUCCUGGUCUUGUUGAGCAUGCAUGGAGCUUGUGGCGUGAAGGGAAAGGGACAGAGCAUCGAUCCAGUCCUUAAAGAUAGUUCUACUUCAACAAGUGAUCAAAUGCUAAGGUGUUUGCAUAUUGCCUUUCUUUGCAUUCAAGAAGAUGCUGCAACCAGGCCAUCCAUGUCCACGGUAGUUCUCAUGCUUGGGAACAAUUCUUUGGACCUUCCCUUGCCCACACAACCUGCACUUAUUUUAGAAAAAAUUGCAGGAUCAAGCCGACCACAUUCUUCUGUUGUAUGGACUACUGCUUCUAAAAGGACGGCAGAGUGAAAGCAACAAAAGUUUCACCCAGGAUGUAUGUGAACAUGGAAAACAUUCUGCUAAUGUACGAAAAUCAUGCAUUGGAGAAGUGAACAUAUGCCUAAUGGAAUUUACCUGAUUCGAUAUAUUUAUUACUUCA